GAGGGGCUGGCAGAAGGGUAAUGCGUAGCUCUCCUACUUUCAUUUGCUGCGAGUAGUAAGCUAAGCUAAGAUUGUGGGUUCGAGUCCCACGUCCCUCG
rfam:Trichophyton interdigitale MR816 cont1.859, whole genome shotgun sequence.